GGAAAGUAUGCCUGAAUAAAAACCAGGUUCAUUUUGUAAUGAAAACGAAACAAAACAAAAAUGUUGCUUUGAGGUUACAGUGUCUGUUUUAAACAUCGUUGUUUAUCAAAUAACUCUUCUUCAAGGUCUGAUUCACAUCUGUCUCUUAAAAAAAUUCAUAAUGAUAGAGUCAUGAGUCUCCUAUUAUCUGGCUAUCUUUCCUUACCUAACUGUUCUCAUCUGCCACGAAGCUCCAAUUCUAGCCAGGUAAGCCUGCCCAUUGCUCUGUCUUUGCUUCUGCUCCUGUCCCCUUGUGCUUUGCUAUGGCAAAGAUAGAUAAUGUUCGUUCCAUAGUGUAGGGUUGUUGCUGAGAAGCUCUGCCCAGCCAGGGCCCUCAUUUUCCAGUCCUGCCCUCCCCUGCAUCCGGGUAGGACUAUGUAACUAGUUAUUGCCCGUGGAUUAUGAGCUGAGCUGAUGCGUAUCAUGCCUUGGCCAAGUGGUUAAGAAGUGGUGGAACAUACCCUUUCUUUUCUCUUUUCCCAUCUGCCCACUGGAUGUUGACACACCAGAUGAUCAUGGAAGCCACAUGUGGAAGGUGGUGGAGACUCCCAGCCUACGGCUCUGCAUGAAGCUAUGGAGCAAUCUUCCUUCACCCACACAGCCUACCUUCCACUCUUGCCACCAAGCAGGAACAUCUGUUUUGGAUUUCAUGAUCGUGUCAUUUAGAAGGACCCAGAACUGGAUACCAAUUGUUGUUCUACAUGGCAAUUAUAAAUAGACAAGAAUACCAUAUAUGAAUAUCACUUUUCAGACCAUAAAAGGAGCCUCGGGAUCAUUGGCAAAUGGACUAGAACUGACUGAACCUCAGAAGCACUAACUUCAUGCUGACUGAAGCAAUGAAGAAAAGAAAACAAGGGAAAGCAAAUGACUUGUCAUGUAAUCAAUUAAUUUUUUUCAUACACUAUUAAAUUUAUGGGGGAUAAAAAAAAACCUAUACCAAAACCAAGAAAUUAUCUUUAAUCUGAGGAGAAGGGAACUGAGUUUUUGUGUGCCAAACACAAAAUACCAGAACCUGUAUAUGUGUCAUUUUGUUUUUCUCAAAUCAACCACACAGGGCAAACAUUUUAGUCCAUGGUACAGACAGAAAAACUGAGGUUUAGAGAAUUUUAAGCAUUUUACCGAAGAGCUAUUAUAUGGCAGUUCUGAUAUUAAAACCUAAACCUCAGAUCCUGGGGUCCAGGUCUAGCCCAUGCUGAAGUCUGAGGGGAGUGGGUGGAUGAGCAGAAAGAAAACUCGAGGGGCCGUAGACAGGUGAACGAUGAUUUUAUUCAGCAGCAGCUCUCAUUAACAGCUUACUUAACACUAGCUCUUUAUACUGUCUGCCCUGUCUUGGCUGCUUUGGCCGGUAGCUCCCACACAGCAUUGUGUUACCAGCUCUCUCUUGCCUUCAGGGUCAGCAGCUUAACUCUUUCUCUGGGGACUACCAAGCAAAACUGUGUCCUGCUCCCUCUUGCGGAUGGACAGCUUUGGCUCGCUUUCUCUGGGUGCCAGUGUGCCCGCCAUGUCAAGCCAUGUUGAGCUGAGCUGAAUCCCAGGAGCCCCUGUACAGCGUUAGCAGGGCAAUUAUACCUUUUGCGGACAACAGUGGCACAGAGCCACGUACGAACUUACACAAACAGGUAAUAUAACAAGUGGAGAUCUGCGCCUGCACACCAGACUCACUGAAUCAAUCAGGCCUGAAUAUCUGCUUCGACAUAUUCCUUGACCAAAGCACAUUCAUAUACCUUACACUAAAUGUGUUUGAGUUCAACAAUCCGAUUUUUUCCUCUAUGCCACACUAUCUCUUCAUGAAGUCAGAAGUUGGGGAGAAUUUCAGAAGACCUUAGGAGAGGUUUUUUUUUUUUGGAGACAGAGUCCUGCUCUGUUGCCCAGGCCGGAGUGCAGUGGUAUUAACUUGGCUCACUGCAACCUGAGCCUCCCAAGUUCAAGUGAUUCUCCUGCCUCAGCCUCCUGAGUAGCUGGGAUUACAGGCACGCAUCACCACAACCAGGUAAUUUUUUUAUUUUAGUAGAGACAGGGGUUUCACCAUGUUGGCCAGGCUGGUCUCAAACUUCUCACCUCAAGUGAUCUGCCAGCCUCGGCCUCCCAAAGUGCUGGGAUUACAGGUGUGAGCCAUUGCAGGAACUGCCAAUUUUCCCCUAACAUGUGUGUGGUGUGUGUGUGUUUAAAGUAUUGUAUUUUUUGACAUUUUAUUGGUUAAUUUGCAAGCAGAGCAAUAAAUGAGUAGAAUUAUUCCAAUUUAAUAUCCUCUUAGAUAACUAUGAAGCCAAGGCAAGUGCUGAAGAUCAUCUGGUAAUCUGCCUCUUUCCAAAAAUAGAGCUGGGAUGACUCAUGUGCAUGGAGUUGGUAUUCAUACCUGGACCCUGAGCUGUGGUCCCCAAUGACUUAUUGCUUCUCUGAAUGUUGACAGCAGCAUCUAAAAUCACAGCUAAAAAUAGAAGGGGGCCAAGAAAUUAGACACUGCUCUCAACUUCCAGAAACCUCACAGUGGCAUGUUAAAAAAAACAGAGUAGGGCUUCAAUAGGCAGCUAAAAGAUUAAAUUCUGGGAUGGCAGAAUUAGCCAAUUUGAAGCAUAAUUGUUUGAGGGGCAAUUUAUCCUGUGACUUGUAUAAAUAAGAAAGCCAGGCAGUUCACAAACACUGUCUAAUUUUAUUCCUUUUUAAGAUCAAGGUGUUGAUAUGUUUACGAGCAGAUAAUAGGCAUUGCUUAAUACCACUAAUUGCUACUUAGUGUUAACUUUGGGCUUUUUCUUCUUAUGUGCUUUAUAAUCUCUUUAUUGGUUAAUUAGAGCAGCACCAGCUGUGAAGGAGGUAAGUUAGUGUUGCCGUCUGCAUCUGCAGGUGAGAGACUAGAAGUCAGUUACCACUACCCAAUGGAGACUUCACCUCAGUUUUUCCUUUGCCACAUCCUGUUUCAAAAUUAGGUGCCCCUGGGAGGACCCACCUACUUGUUAAUACUGUAAAUAAAAUAAGGUCCUAACUGGCUUCCCAACAGCCUCCUGUCUUCCUCUAAUCUAAUGGUCCUUAAACUUUAGCAUGUACCAGAAUCACCUGGUGUGCUUGUUAAAACACAGAUUGCUGGGGUCCCACCCUGACGGCUUCUUAUUCACCAUGUCUAAGGUGUAGCUCCAAAAUGUGUAUUUUUAGCAAGUUCCCUAGUGAUUCUGAUGCUACCUGCCUGAGGGCCACACUCUGAGAACUACUGCUCCUACUAGAUAUUUCAAGGCUGUCCUAAAAGAAAGGCAUGGGCAGUGUUUAAAGACUUUGUGAAAGAAACACUAAGGAACAAGUAUAUGCUCUGUUUUUCCCUUUUAAAUAAAUAGAAGUAAAGGGAAAGCUACAAUGACUCUAAUUUAGUGGAUCUCAAAGAGUGGUUCCCCAGCCAGAAAUAUCUGCAUCACCCAGGAACUUGCAAGAAAGGCAGAUUCUCAGUUCCCACCCGGACCAGCUGAAUAAGCGAUUUUGGAGGUAGAGUGCAGCGGUCUGUGGUUAACAAGCCCUCCAGGCAUUAAAGUGUGAGAAUCACUGCCUUCGAUCCUUUCUCUACAUGGCCGUCAGUGACCCUUUUUUUAUUGAAACUUCUAUUGUGAUAAUUGUAGCUUCACAUGUGGUGUAAAAAGCAACAAAAGAAGAUUCCCUGUACACUUUUCCCAGUUCCCUCAAUGGUAAGAUUUUGCAAAGCUGCGGUCUAACAUCACAAAAAGAUUAUUAACAUUGACAUGGUACAUCUAUUUUCAUCAGCUUUUCCCAG
ensembl:lncRNA